rnacentral:rRNA from 1 species
UACGUAGGGGGCGAGCGUUGUCCGGAAUUACUGGGCGUAAAGGGCGCGCAGGCGGCCGUGUAAGUCCGCUGUGAAAGACCGGGGCUCAACCCCGGGGUGUCAGCGGGGACUGCACGGCUGGAGUCCCGGAGAGGGAGGCGGAAUACCUGGUGUAGCGGGUGGAAUGCGUAGAGAUCAGGUGGAACACCGAUGGCGAAGGCAGCUCGCUGGGACGUACUGACACUGAGGAGCGAAAGCGUGGGGAGCGAACAGG